rnacentral:pre_miRNA from 1 species
AUCACUGGGGACCUUGUUAAAAUGCAGAUUCUGAUUCAGAAGGUCUGGGGUUAGGGUCUGAGAUUCUGUGUUUCUAACAAACUCUCAGGUGAUGCAGA